rnacentral:rRNA from 1 species
GGUAAAGACGGUUAGGUUAACUGUAAGUUUUGUUAAUACAUGUAAAAAGGUAGAAUUUGGAUGCAUGUUCAUGAUUUAAUGAAAACUUUAGUACUGAAGCUGUGAUAGCUUAGAGGGAAACUGGGAUUAGAUACCCCAUUAUUCUUGGCCAUAAAAAAAUUUAAAUUUACCGGAGCACUACGAACUAAAAAGUUUAAAACUCAAAGGGCUUGGCGGUGUUUUAGACCUCUUAGGGGAACCUGUCUCAUAAUCGACAAUCCGCGUUAAACCUAACUUCUUUUUGUACUCAGUAUGUAUACCAUCGUCGUCAGGUAACUUUUAAAAAGUUAGAAGUUAGCUAACAAACUAUUUAAGUUUAAACGUCAGAUCAAGGUGCAGUCAAUAAGGAAGUGAGGAUGGGUUACAAUUAUAAAAUCAUAAAUACGAAAUAGUUAAAUGAAUAAAUGACUAUGAAGGAGGACUUAAAAGUAAACUGAAUUAUAUAAACAUAUUGAAUUAGGCUCUGAAACGUGCACACAUCG